GACGAACGCUGGCGGCGUGCCUAAUACAUGCAAGUCGAGCGAAUCAAUGGGAGCUUGCUCCUGUUGGUUAGCGGCGGACGGGUGAGUAACACGUGGGCAACCUGCCUGUAAGACUGGGAUAACACCGGGAAACCGGUGCUAAUACCGGAUAAUCCUUUUCCUCACAUGAGGGAAAGCUGAAAGUCGGUUUCGGCUGACACUUACAGAUGGGCCCGCGGCGCAUUAGCUAGUUGGUGAGGUAACGGCUCACCAAGGCGACGAUGCGUAGCCGACCUGAGAGGGUGAUCGGCCACACUGGGACUGAGACACGGCCCAGACUCCUACGGGAGGCAGCAGUAGGGAAUCUUCCACAAUGGACGAAAGUCUGAUGGAGCAACGCCGCGUGAGCGAUGAAGGCCUUCGGGUCGUAAAGCUCUGUUGUUAGGGAAGAACAUGUACCGGAGUAACUGCCGGUACCUUGACGGUACCUAACCAGAAAGCCACGGCUAGCUACGUGCCAGCAGCCGCAGUAAUAC
rnacentral:rRNA from 1 species